rnacentral:rRNA from 1 species
AGCGAACGCUGGCGGCAGGCCUAACACAUGCAAGUCGAACGAACUCUUCGGAGUUAGUGGCGGACGGGUGAGUAACACGUGGGAACGUGCCUUUUGGUUCGGAAUAACUCAGGGAAACUUGUGCUAAUACCGAAUGUGCCCUUCGGGGGAAAGAUUUAUCGCCAUUAGAGCGGCCCGCGUCUGAUUAGCUAGUUGGUGAGGUAACGACUCACCAAGGCGACGAUCAGUAGCUGGUCUGAGAGGAUGACCAGCCACACUGGGACUGAGACACGGCCCAGACUCCUACGGGAGGCAGCAGUGGGGAAUCUUGCGCAAUGGGCGAAAGCCUGACGCAGCCAUGCCGCGUGAAUGAUGAAGGUCUUAGGAUUGUAAAAUUCUUUCACCGGGGACGAUAAUGACGGUACCCGGAGAAGAAGCCCCGGCUAACUUCGUG